rnacentral:rRNA from 1 species
GAUGAACGCUGGCGGCGUGCCUAAUACAUGCAAGUCGAGCGAACAGACGAGGAGCUUGCUCCUCUGACGUUAGCGGCGGACGAGUGAGUAACACGUGGAUAACCUACCUAUAAGACUGGGAUAACUUCGGGAAACCGGAGCUAAUACCGGAUAAUAUAUUGAACCGCAUGGUUCAAUAGUGAAAGACGGUUUUGCUGUCACUUAUAGAUGGAUCCGCGCCGCAUUAGCUAGUUGGUAAGGUAACGGCUUACCAAGGCAACGAUGCGUAGCCGACCUGGGAGGGUGAUCGGCCACACUGGAACUGAGACACGGUCCAGACUCCUACGGGAGGCAGCAGUAGGGAAUCUUCCGCAAUGGGCGAAAGCCUGACGGAGCAACGCCGCGUGAGUGAUGAAGGUCUUCGGAUCGUAAAACUCUGUUAUUAGGGAAGAACAAAUGUGUAAGUAACUAUGCACGUCUUGACGGUACCUAAUCAGAAAGCCACGGCUAACUACGUG